rnacentral:sRNA from 1 species
UUAUUGCGUUAGGGAUAGAAGCGGCAUCCUUUUUAAAAUUUUGCCCUUAGGCAGAAAUUUAAAAAGAUAUAGCAGAUAGCCCGCCGAUAG